rnacentral:lncRNA from 10 species
CAAAGGAGCCAUUCAUCCAGGGAUGCUGGAGGUCUGGGCUCACCUGGGAAUGGAGAUGGCAACACCUACAUGUGACCUUUCCAGCAUGGCAGUCUCAGAGUGGAUAUGGCAACAGCUGCACAUGAACUCUCCGGCAUGGCAGUCUCAGAGUGGAUAUGGCAACAGCUGCACAUGACCUCUCCGGCAUGGCAGUCUCAGAGUGGAUAUGGCAACACCUGCACACGACCUCUCCGGCAUGGCAGUCUCAGAGUGGAUAUGGCAACACCUACACACGACCUCUCCAGCAUGGCAGUCUCAGAGUGGAUAUGGCAACAGCUACACAUGACCUCACCGGCAUGGCAGUCUCAGAGUGGAUAUGGCAACAGCUACACAUGACCUCACCAGCAUGGCAGUCUCAGGUUACUGGUACUUCUUAGGUCUCAGCUGAGGACUCCAGUGCAGGUGUUGCAAGACAGCAGACGUAGCACUGCUUAUGUGUAUCCUGAAGUCCCAUGUGUAUCCUGAAGUCCCAGAAAGCUGCUUCAAGUAGAUUCCAGUGGAGAAGGGAGUCACCAAGGCUGGACAGUCAUUUAUCCAUGGCAGGACUAGCAAAAAAAUCUGCACCAUCUCUCAUCGCACACACGUGGAAUGUGUUCCAGGGCUGGGCGCCGCGGCUCACGUCUGGAAUCCCAGCACAUUGGGAGGCCGAGGCGGGCGGAUCACAAGGUCAGGAGCUCAAGACCAGCCUGACCAAUGUAGUGAAACCCCGUCUCUACUAAAAAUACAAAAAUUAGCCUGGCUUCUGUAAUCCCAGCUACUCGGAGGCUGAGGCAGGAGAAUUGCUUGAACCCUAGAGGUGGAGGUUGCAGUGAGCCGAGAUCACUCAAGAAAAAAAAAAUAAAAGAAUGUUUUCCUUCACCUCUGAAUCCCUAGUGUAUAGGGGAGAGCCUGGAACAGAGUAGGGGUUCCAUAAGCCAAUCAAAUAAAUGACUGAAAAAGAGUUAAGGGACAAGGUCAAACAAAAAGAGCUAAUUUAACUGCUAAACGAUUAUUCUAUUUAGGCCAAUUGGUAACCCAUGACUGCUUGUAAAAUUCAAUUUCAUUGAAUGGGACAUAUUUCAAACAUAAACAUAGGUUUUUUUAAUGAAUAUAACUGAACUGCAGAUUGCAAUCAAGAUGUUCCCUCCCUUUCUCAUUUAGAUUUCUCAUCUUAUUAGCCAUCACUGACCCUCCUCUAGUGGUUAAAUGCUUAGUUUGGGACAUUAUCUCAGCCAUACCCUCAGAAUGGUUGAUUCAGUGGUUCGUUGCCCAUGUGUGCUGUGAUGUCAACAGGCUGUUGAAUGCUGAGGGCAAUCUCAUAUUUGGCUAAUGAUGGUUCUUCAGAAAGCAACACCCUUCAGAUUAGUUCAGCAGGGUUCAACUUUGUGGUGACCACAGUUGGGCUGAGCAGGCUGCAUGUCAGGCAGAGCUGUCAGUCUGCUCCAGCCAAGAGUGGAGUGGGCACUUCUUGGGAUUUGGAUAAGGAAACAUUUGUCUGAGCAGUUUUACCACCUUAAUAUGGGUUUGAUUCUUCUAUUUGUAUACAGAGUAAGCCAAAUUAAAAAAUGAAAAGAAAAAAGAACCAGUUCAUUUAAUCAAGACAUGCUAGUGGUUAGUCAUCUUUUAUAACAACCACAUCGAUAAUUCACCUUUUUCAUUUUCAAAUUAGUUUUUGGUUGUUUUGUAGACAGAGAGCCUUAGCCAUAAAUUAAAAGUAAUGAUAAUUAGCCACAUGUUCUUCAUUAUGUUGAGGGCUUUGAACAUUUCUUCACAUAGCUAUUAGACAUGUCAGCCACAUGUAGGAAAAGGAACUAUAGAAUUUCGUAAUUUUUUUUUUUUUUGGAAAAAUGAGCAACAGAAUUUUAAGGCAGAAACGUGAAAUGCGAGUGAUGGCAAGUCCCAGUGAAGUGGAGAAUAGCAUGCUUUAUGUGAAUGUCUGAUAUUUGUUUUCUCAGUGCUUUUGAUCUCAGAACACCUAACAGGACUGGGGCAGAAGCUUUUUGCUGACUUGUUGCAUCAGUGCUAAAGAUGAAAGGAAACAGUCUUCAUAUUCGCCGUGGUGUUGAUUGCCCUAUAAAUAGGAAACUACCCAGUUAACCUUGCCUGUUGUCAUACGGAGAGUUUUAUUAAAAAAUAAACAGUGCGUGGCGGGUAGCAGAAUGUGGGAUUUCUGCUUAGAUGCCCGCAAUUCUUUCAUAUACUUCAUUAAAAUGUGCAGGAGAACUUCAGAGCCAUGAAUAAAAAUAUUGUUAUGGAAACUGAGGCCUGUUAUCAUAGCUUCAGUGAUUUGCAAUGAUUAUUUAAUGAAUGAGUUUAUGUUUGAAAAUAUCCCCUGUGAUAAUAUGAAUUUAUCGCUCCCCCCUACCCCUCCGAUUUCUUUUAUUUUGACACAUAUGGAAGAUGCUGUUUUGUUUUGACACUCAGAGGAGAUGCUCUUUUUAUCAAAAAUCACUGAACAGUAAUGAGAUUUUAGUGAACAAUCUUACCAGACUUCCCGAACAUAAAGAAAUCUGAUACUGAGGAGUGCACAGUGUUCUAUAAUAAGUAAUCUUAGGUGUGUGCAUGCUUUUCAGUGGCAGUAUUCAUUUUUCACGAGUUUUGUAUUUGAUCUUACCGGGAUUUGAUGUAAGAAGACUUGGGUAGCUCUUGUGUAGACACAAAGAACAGAGAGGACAUCCAUAAAGCCAUAGAGACAGGAUCCCAACCACAGUGUGAGGAGAAACUGAUGACUAUGCCAGGCAUACAGCACCAUCUCUUCAGCCUAAGAGCAGGGGGUUUACCAAGCUCACCAAAACAACUUACCAUUCCUCUUUCCGCGUGAUUGGAACUCAUCUUCCUCCUCAGAGGGUGCAGAGAUGAAUUUAGAAGGAAGUUUGAAGAGCCCAUGGUGUCCAGAACUCAGGCCUGCUUGCAAAUGAGUGGCUCUGGGACUGUCUUUCCACAUCUCCAGGAGCCUAUUUUCCGGGAGGAAAAUGAGAGCACUGUUCAGAAGUACUGGAAGGAACCUGCCAACAUUGAGUUUCUUGAGAGUCUCUGAAGUUAGUUCUUCUAAUUUUUAGUACCCUGACAAUUUCAUGCAAGUUAGUAACUUUUGCAUACUUCAGUUUUCUCAUCUGUAAAAUUGGGGUAAUGAUAAUAUCUACCACCCUCACAGACACACCCAGGAUUAAUACUUUGCAUCCUUCAAUCCAAUCAAGUUGAUACUCAGUAUUAACUAUCACAUGGUCCCUGAAAAUUUUAUUUUAUUCUGAUUUGGGAAUAAAAAAGCUUUCUCUUUGAC